rnacentral:rRNA from 1 species
GAUGAAGCCCCUCGGGGGGUAAAGCUCUUCGGCAGGGAAGAUUAUGACGGUACUGCAGAAGCAGCUGCGCUAACUACGUGCCAGCAGCCGCGGUAAUACGUAGGCAGCGAGCGUUGUCGGAGUUACUGGGCGUAAAGGGUGUGUAGGCGGUCUUCUAAGUUUGGUGUGAAAUCUCCCGGCUCAACUGGGAGGGUGCGCCGAAUACUGAAAGACUAGAGUGCGGGAGAGGAUAGUGGAAUUCCUGGUGUAGCGGUGAAAUGCGUAGAUAUCAGGAGGAACACCGGUGGUGUAGACGGCUAUCUGGACCGUAACUGACGCUGAGACACGAAAGCGUGGGUAGCAAACAGGAUUAGAUACCCUGGUAGUCCACGCCCUAAACGAUGCAUAUUUGGUGUGGGCAGUUCAGUCUGUCCGUGCCGGAGCUAACGCGUUAAAUAUGCCGCCUGAGGAGUACAGUCGCAAGGCUGAAACUCAAAGGAAUUGACGGGGGCCCGCACAAGCGGUGGAGCAUGUGGUUCAAUUCGAUGCAACGCGAAGAACCUUACCUGGGCUCGAAGCGUAGUGGACUGAGGUAGAAAUAUCUUUUUCCCGCAAGGGACCGCUACGUAGGUGCUGCAUGGCUGUCGUCAGCUCGUGUCGUGAGAUGUUGGGUUAAGUCCCGCAACGAGCGCAACCCUUAUUGUCAGUUGCCAUCAUUCAGUUGGGCACUCUGGCGAAACCGCCUCGGAUAACGGGGAGGAAGGUGGGGAUGACGUCAAGUCCUCAUGGCCUUUAUGUCCAGGGCUACACACGUGCUACAAUGGUUGGUACAAACCGUCGCAAACCCGCGAGGGGGAGCUAAUCGGAAAAAGCCAAUCCCAGUCCGGAUUGGAGUCUGCAACUCGACUCCAUGAAGCUGGAAUCGCUAGUAAUCGCAGAUCAGCACGCUGCGGUGAAUACGUUCCCGGGCCUUGUACACACCGCCCGUCACAUCACGAAAGUGGGCUGUACUAGAAGCCGGUGCGCUGACCCGCAAGGGAGGCAGCCGUCCAAGGUAUAACUCAUGAUUGGGGUGAAGUCGUAACAAGGUA